rnacentral:rRNA from 1 species
CCUACGGGUGGCUGCAGUGGGGAAUAUUGGACAAUGGGGGCAACCCUGAUCCAGCGACGCCGCGUGUGUGAAGAAGGCCUGCGGGUUGUAAAGCACUUUUAGUGGGGAGGAAGGUCUGCGACCUAACACGUCGUGGAAUUGACUUAACCCACAGAAAAAGCACCGGCUAACUCUGUGCCAGCAGCCGCGGUAAUACAGAGGGUGCAUGCGUUAAUCGGAAUUACUGGAGGCGGUUCGUGAAGUGGCGGUUGAAAGCCCCGGGCUCAACCUGGGAAUUGCAUUCGAGACUGCGAAGCUGGAGUGCGGAAGAGGGAAGUGGAAUUUCCGGUGUAGCGGUGAAAUGCGUAGAUAUCGGAAGGAACAUCAGUGGCGAAAGCGACUUCCUGGUCCAGCACUGACGCUCAGGCACGAAAGCGUGGGGAGCAAACAGGAUUAGAUACCCCAGUAGUC